CUGCCGGCCCUUUUUUUUUCCUUGUUUAUCUUCUUUUGUUUUCGUCCUGCAAGUAUGGCGCUUCGCGCCGUUCGAACAAUUACAGUUUCAUUAGUUCAUGUAAUCGUUUGCUACUUUUUUAAUCCAGCUCUUUAGUUCUGCUUAAUCCUUGUUCCUUGUUCCCGGGGCUGCCUCGUGGGGUGGAUCCUUUCGCCCUUGUGUGUUGUGCUUUGUGUUGCCAAGGACUCGCGCGCCUCACUCUUGACCGGACCAGGGACCUAGGACGGACCCGCGGUGCCGACUUGGGGUCAAGCAGCAACGGCAAGCCACUCCGCUUGCGGGGUAACUACUCCAAGCCAUGCCCUCUCGGGACGGAACCGAAAGCCG
rnacentral:lncRNA from 1 species